rnacentral:rRNA from 1 species
GACGAACGCUGGCGGCGUGCUUAACACAUGCAAGUCGAACGGAAAGGCCCUGCUUGCCGGGUACUCGAGUGGCGAACGGGUGAGUAACACGUGGGUGAUCUGCCCUGCACUUCGGGAUAAGCCUGGAAACUGGGUCUAAUACCGGAUAGGAGCCAUUUUUAGUGUGAUGGUUGGAAAGUUUUUUCGGUGUAGGAUGAGCUCGCGGCCUAUCAGCUUGUUGGUGGGGUAAUGGCCUACAAAGGCGGCGACGGGUAGCCGGCCUGAGAGGGUGGACGGCCACAAUGGGACUGAGAUACGGCCAAGACACCUACGGGAGGCAGCAGUGGGGAAUAUUGCACAAUGGGCGCAAGCCGGAUGCAGCGACGCCGCGUGGGGGACGACGGCCUUCGGGUUGUAAACACCUUUCGCUAGGGACGAAGCUUUUUGUGACGGUACCUAGAGAAGAAGCACCGGCUAACUCCGUG